rnacentral:rRNA from 1 species
CUUUACUGUAACCUGAAAUUGAAUUUAAAUUAUAUUUGCGCAGAAUAAGUGGGAGACGUAGAAUUUAUUUUUCUGGAAAUAAAUGAGUCAACAGUGAGAUACCACUCUAAUAUAAUUAAAAUUCUAAUUUUAUACCAUUAGCUGGUUAAAAGACAUUUUUUGGUGGGCAGUUUGACUGGGGCGGUCGCCUCCUAAAAAGUAACGGAGGCGUACAAAGGUUUUUUCAAAUCGGUCAGAAAUCGAUUUUUGAGUGUAAAGACAUAAAAAAGCUUAACUGUAAGACAAACAAGUCAAGCAGAAACGAAAGUUGGUCUUAGUGACCUAACGAUACUGUGUGGAAAGGUCGUUAAUCAACGGAUAAAAGUUA